rnacentral:rRNA from 1 species
UUAUUGGAGAGUUUGAUCCUGGCUCAGGGUGAACGUUGGCGGUGCGUCUAAUACAUGCAAGUCGAGCGCAACUUCGGUUGAGCGGCGGACGGCUGAGUAACACGUUGGUAGCUACCCCCCAUUCAGGGAUAAGCGCGAGAAAUUGCGUCUAAUACCGGAUGGUCCCGCAAGGGUAAAGAUUUUUCGAUGGGGGAGGCGCCUGCGGCCUAUCAGCUUGUUGGUAAGGUAACGGCUUACCAAGGCUAUGACGGGUAACUGGUCUGAGAGGACGACCAGUCAGAAUGGGACUGAGACACGGCCCAUACUCCUACGGGAGGCAGCAGUGAGGAAUCUUCCGCAAUGGG